GAUGAACGCUGGCGGCGUGCUUAACACAUGCAAGUCGAACGGAGAGCCUAUGACGGAGUUUUCGGACAACUGAUUAGGUUUCUUAGUGGCGGACGGGUGAGUAACGCGUGAGGAACCUGCCUUGGAGUGGGGAAUAACACUGAGAAAUUUGUGCUAAUACCGCAUAAUGCAAUUGAGUCGCAUGGCUCUGAUUGCCAAAGAUUUAUCGCUCUAAGAUGGCCUCGCGUCUGAUUAGCUAGUUGGUGGGGUAACGGCCCACCAAGGCGACGAUCAGUAGCCGGACUGAGAGGUUGACCGGCCACAUUGGGACUGAGACACGGCCCAG
rnacentral:rRNA from 1 species